GUGGAUCAGUGGCGAACGGGUGAGUAACACGUGAGCAACCUGCCCUCCACUUCGGGAUAAGCCCUGGAAACGGGGUCUAAUACCGGAUAUGAGUGCCUGACGCAUGUCGGGUGCUGGAAAGUUUUUCGGUGGGGGAUGGGCUCGCGGCCUAUCAGCUUGUUGGUGGGGUAGUGGCCUACCAAGGCGUCGACGGGUAGCCGGCCUGAGAGGGCGACCGGCCACACUGGGACUGAGACACGGCCCAGACUCCUACGGGAGGCAGCAGUGGGGAAUAUUGCACAAUGGGCGAAAGCCUGAUGCAGCGACGCCGCGUGAGGGAUGACGGCUUCGGGUUGUAAACCUCUUUCAGCAGGGAAGAAGGCUUCGGGUGGACGGUACCUGCAGAAGAAGCGCCGGCUAACUACGUGCCAGCAGCCGCGGUAAUACGUAGGGCGCAAGCGUUGUCCGGAAUUAUUGGGCGUAAAGAGCUCGUAGGCGGUUUGUCGCGUCUGGUGUGAAAACCUCAGGCUCAACCUGGGGCGUGCAUCGGGUACGGGCAGACUAGAGUGCGGUAGGGGAGACUGGAAUUCCUGGUGUAGCGGUGGAAUGCGCAGAUAUCAGGAGGAACACCGAUGGCGAAGGCAGGUCUCUGGGCCGCAACUGACGCUGAGGAGCGAAAGCAUGGGGAGCGAACAGGAUUAGAUACCCUGGUAGUCCAUGCCGUAAACGUUGGGCACUAGGUGUGGGGCUCAUUCCACGAGUUCCGUGCCG
rnacentral:rRNA from 1 species